rnacentral:rRNA from 1 species
ACGGCGUAAAAAUGACUAAAAUUACAGUUAUCCUAAACCUAGGGCAAAGACUACACUGGGCUGUAAAAAGCCAUAAGCAACAUCAAAACCUUCCCCCUAGCACCACACAACUUUGACUCAUAAAAGCUAGGACUCAAACUAAGAUUAGAUACCCUACUAUGCCUAGCCACAACACACAAUCAAACUACAAAUUGUUCGCCAAACAACUACGAGUAAUACUUAAAACUUAAAAGACUUGACGGUGCUUCACCCCGACCUAGAGGAGCCUGUCUAAUAACCGAUAACCCACGAUUAACCCAACCACUUCUUGCCCUACAGUCUAUAUACCGCCGUCGCCAGCUUACCUUGUAAAAGAAAUAAAGUGGGCUAAAUAGUAACACACUAAAACGACAGGUCGAGGUGUAACCCAUGAAGAGGACUAAGAUGGGCUACAUUCUCUAACAGAGAAUACGAACAGCACUAUGAAAUUAGUGUUCGAAGGCGGAUUUAGCAGUAAGAUAAGAAUAGAACACCUAACUGAAAAUAACGCAAUGAAGUGCGCACACACCGCCCGUCACCCCUGCCAUCCCAAUAUUAAGCAUCAAUUAACUAACCAAAAAACCAACCAGGGCAAGUCGUAACAUGGGAAGGGGACUGGAAA